ensembl:snRNA U6 U6 spliceosomal RNA
GUACUCGCUUCAGCAGCACAUAAUCUAAAAUUGGAACAAUACACAGAAGAUUAACAUGGCUCCUGCGCAAGCAUGACUCGCAAAUUCGUGAAGCAUUCCAUAUUUUU